AAUGCCUAGGAAUCUGCCUGGUAGUGGGGGAUAACGUUCGGAAACGGACGCUAAUACCGCAUACGUCCUACGGGAGAAAGUGGGGGAUCUUCGGACCUCACGCUAUCAGAUGAGCCUAGGUCGGAUUAGCUAGUUGGUGGGGUAAUGGCUCACCAAGGCGACGAUCCGUAACUGGUCUGAGAGGAUGAUCAGUCACACUGGAACUGAGACACGGUCCAGACUCCUACGGGAGGCAGCAGUGGGGAAUAUUGGACAAUGGGCGCAAGCCUGAUCCAGCCAUGCCGCGUGUGUGAAGAAGGUCUUCGGAUUGUAAAGCACUUUAAGUUGGGAGGAAGGGCAGUCAGUUAAUACCUGGUUGUUUUGACGUUACCAACAAAAUAAGCACCGGCUAACUUCGUGCCAGCAGCCGCGGUAAUACGAAGGGUGCAAGCGUUAAUCGGAAUUACUGGGCGUAAAGCGCGCGUAGGUGGUUCAGCAAGUUGGAGGUGAAAUCCCCGGGCUCAACCUGGGAACUGCCUCCAAAACUACUGAGCUAGAGUACGGUAGAGGGUGGUGGAAUUUCCUGUGUAGCGGUGAAAUGCGUAGAUAUAGGAAGG
rnacentral:rRNA from 1 species